AGUCGAGCGGUAGCACAGAGAGCUUGCUCUCGGGUGACGAGCGGCGGACGGGUGAGUAAUGUCUGGGAAACUGCCUGAUGGAGGGGGAUAACUACUGGAAACGGUAGCUAAUACCGCAUAAUGUCGCAAGACCAAAGUGGGGGACCUUCGGGCCUCAUGCCAUCAGAUGUGCCCAGAUGGGAUUAGCUAGUAGGUGGGGUAACGGCUCACCUAGGCGACGAUCCCUAGCUGGUCUGAGAGGAUGACCAGCCACACUGGAACUGAGACACGGUCCAGACUCCUACGGGAGGCAGCAGUGGGGAAUAUUGCACAAUGGGCGCAAGCCUGAUGCAGCCAUGCCGCGUGUGUGAAGAAGGCCUUCGGGUUGUAAAGUACUUUCAGCGGGGAGGAAGGCGAUAAGGUUAAUAACCUUGUCGAUUGACGUUACCCGCAGAAGAAGCACCGGCUAACUCCGUGCCAGCAGCCGCGGUAAUACGGAGGGUGCAAGCGUUAAUCGGAAUUACUGGGCGUAAAGCGCACGCAGGCGGUCUGUCAAGUCGGAUGUGAAAUCCCCGGGCUCAACCUGGGAACUGCAUUCGAAACUGGCAGGCUAGAGUCUUGUAGAGGGGGGUAGAAUUCCAGGUGUAGCGGUGAAAUGCGUAGAGAUCUGGAGGAAUACCGGUGGCGAAGGCGGCCCCCUGGACAAAGACUGACGCUCAGGUGCGAAAGCGUGGGGAGCAAACAGGAUUAGAUACCCUGGUAGUCCACGCCGUAAACGAUGUCGAUUUGGAGGUUGUGCCCUUGAGGCGUGGCUUCCGGAGCUAACGCGUUAAAUCGACCGCCUGGGGAGUACGGCCGCAAGGUUAAAACUCAAAUGAAUUGACGGGGGCCCGCACAAGCGGUGGAGCAUGUGGUUUAAUUCGAUGCAACGCGAAGAACCUUACCUGGUCUUGACAUCCACAGAACUUACCAGAGAUGGCUUGGUGCCUUCGGGAACUGUGAGACAGGUGCUGCAUGGCUGUCGUCAGCUCGUGUUGUGAAAUGUUGGGUUAAGUCCCGCAACGAGCGCAACCCUUAUCCUUUGUUGCCAGCGGUUCGGCCGGGAACUCAAAGGAGACUGCCAGUGAUAAACUGGAGGAAGGUGGGGAUGACGUCAAGUCAUCAUGGCCCUUACGACCAGGGCUACACACGUGCUACAAUGGCAUAUACAAAGAGAAGCGACCUCGCGAGAGCAAGCGGACCUCAUAAAGUAUGUCGUAGUCCGGAUUGGAGUCUGCAACUCGACUCCAUGAAGUCGGAAUCGCUAGUAAUCGUAGAUCAGAAUGCUACGGUGAAUACGUUCCCGGGCCUUGUACACACCGCCCGUCACACCAUGGGAGUGGGUUGCAAAAGAAGUAGGUAGCUUAACCUUCGGGAGGG
rnacentral:rRNA from 1 species